rfam:Staphylococcus sp. HGB0015 genomic scaffold aczIz-supercont1.1, whole genome shotgun sequence.
UCCAUUGUGAAGUGGAAUCUGAAGGAAGUCGGACGUAAACACUCGCACUGACGACUGGAUAAUAUGGGGA